AGAUCGGGUUGCGGUUUAAGUUCU
rnacentral:siRNA from 1 species